AACGCACCUUGCACUCCAUGGUAUUCCGUGGAGUAUGCCUGUCUGAGUGUCAUGAAACUCUCAACCCCGUUGCCUUUGUUUAUCUUGGGCAUCGGGGCUUGGAUCAUGAGUGCCUGCUGGACCUGUGCAUCAGCUCACUCUAAAUGUAUUAGUGGUCUGCUUGCUCUGCCUCCGCAGCUGGCUCUGGCGUAAUAGGUUUUAUUCGCUGGACUUCUGUGGGGAACAGCAGAGCGUUGCUUACCAUUCACAAACAACUCUAAGUGUUUGGCCUCAGAUCAGGCAGGACUACCCGCUGAACUUAA
rnacentral:ncRNA from 2 species